rnacentral:rRNA from 1 species
GACGAACGCUGGCGGCGUGCUUAACACAUGCAAGUCGAACGGAAAGGCCCUGCUUUUGUGGGGUGCUCGAGUGGCGAACGGGUGAGUAACACGUGAGUAACCUGCCCUUGACUUUGUGAUAACUUCAGGAAACUGGGGCUAAUACCGGAUAGGAGCUCCUGCUGCAUGUUGGGGGUUGGAAAGUUUCGGCGGUUGGGGAUGGACUCGCGGCUUAUCAGCUUGUUGGUGGGGUAGUGGCUUACCAAGGCUUUGACGGGUAGCCGGCCUGAGAGGGUGACCGGCCACAUUGGGACUGAGAGACGGCCCAGACUCCUACGGGAGGCAGCAGGGGGGAAUAUUGCACAGUGGGCGGAAGCCUGAUGCAGCAACGCCGCGUGCGGGAUGACGGCCUUCGAGUUGUAAACCGCUUUCGCCUGUGACGAAGCGUGAGUGACGGUAAUGGGCAAAGAAGCACCGGCUAACUACGUG